AGAGAGCAUGUCGGCUCCUUUUAUCCCUUCUACCAUUUACAAAUGUCACCGGCUUCCUGCUUGAGUCAUUAAGGAAAAGUAAUUACUUUAAGCAUGAGUCACAGCACAUUGAAAAAAGCAAUUAAUAUCUUGACAUCUAAACACAGAAAGAAAUCUCUGACAAGAUCUUGGAGAAUGUCAGGGCAGUAUUUAUUGGGCAAUAAUAAUACCAAAGUUACCUUUUGGAUGGCGGAAUGUUGUUGCCUGCUGUGUCUCCAGAGAAGCAAUGUCCUGUCCACACUGGAUGCUUAGGAAGUAUCAUGGAGCAAGUGAGUGAACACAGGAGUGAAUGACAGUCUUCGAUCCUUGUGUCCCCACCAUUUCUCCACCUGCGGGUCUCAGUCUGGUUCCUGAAAAAAAGCAAGUAGAGCUCUGACUUCAUACCACGCACUCUUUGCACAGAUGUCUGCACCUACAAUUUGGCUUUCUCCUGUUACUCUCUCCAGACUCAAGGCUGUUGACUUAAGAUAUUGACUGAAGUCAUUCUUCUGGCACCUCUGGCUCACAGCUGGGUCCCUAUGUGGCUUCACUUUGACCCGAAGUUCAUAUUGCUGUUGUGAGCCCACCUUGCCACGGUAUGGACAGCAGCCCCCUGGGACCUGUGCUGGUCUGGAGAUGUGAUCAUCGGAGACAACAGCUCCUUCAGGGCCCACAGCAGGCAGGGAUUUUCUCUGGCUGGGUUCUUCCUGGCCACUCAUAAACAAACUGUAAUUCUUCAGACUCCAAGAGGCUUUGGUUUGUGUUCGGAAGGCUGAGGAAAAGUGGAAAAUGUGUUAAACGCAUGCCACUGUCUAAGAGAAGGUUGCUACUGCGUACCACUGGCCUAUGCACUCUACCACAGUAGGCACUUGGUGAGUCAAUGGUGAACACACGUGUGGAGCAGUGGUGACCAGACAGGAUGGUAACUCUGCUGAGCACUAGUGGGUGCCAAGCCAUCUCUUUCCUGAUUAUCACAGCCACCUUCAGUAGAAAUGGAUACUCUCCCCACUUUCCAGCUGAGGGCAUGGAGCCACAGAAUUUUGUGUCUUAGAUGGUACAACUGGUUUCUCAACUCUUGGACUCAGCCUGUUCUGAAGGAGAAAGUGCUUAUAUAAAAUUAGAGAUAAAUAAGGUUGACAGGACAGAAGGUUAUUGCCACUGAAUAGAUGGUUCCUGAGAGACAGGGGUGUGCCCCACCAGAAAAGUGAAGAGACAGACCAUGGCAAGAAGCUCUUGGGGUACAAGAGACCAAGAGGGCCUCAGCCUGAUGAGUAGGGAUUGGAACUGAAGGCCAGAGAAGCCAAGGAGAUGAGUUUUGCCUGAGGUCUGUCCUUAAGCAACACAACUCAAACAUGAACUCCGAUUUGGGGAGAAGAGCUGAAUGUAGGAACUGUGCUGAGAAGGCAAAAUGUCUGAGGUGUGAUCACCAAGGGCAACUUGAUGGGCCAUGGCUGUGUCUAUACCACCCACCCAUCCACCUGUUCAUUCAACCAAUGUCUGCCGAGAACCUGCCAAGUGCAAAUGAUGGUGAUCAGAGAAUGAUAAGAAAAACACAGUUUUUUAAAUAUCCAGGGAGGUUAAACUCAGCAACAAGAGUCAUAGAGGAUGAGGAAGAGUUCAACAAGAGAGAAAAAUAAGACAGCUAUUCUGAGCAGAGUACCCUGGUUUCCACCUGUAUUCCCGAGACCACUGAAGGCUGGCAUGUGAGUACUUUAGAAAUUGGAGCUUUUACAAAGAACAAUGCUAUGAGAAGCAUUGUAUAACAACUCACCAAGGAAGGUAUUUAGAUGGGAAAUUAGCCCAUGAAAAGGUGUUCAUCAUUACUUAUCAUCAGGAAACUUCAAGUUAAACCCACAAUAAGACAUCACUGCAUACAACACCACUGACAGUACCAAAGGAUGGCAAGGAUGCGGAGCAACAAGACCUCAUCUAUUGCUGGCAGGAAUGCAAAACACACAGCCACUUUGGAAGACAGUUUGGCAGUCUUUUACAAAGGGAAACAUAGUCCUAACAUCUGAU
rnacentral:lncRNA from 1 species